AACCAGCUGCCACAGGAACAGCUGUAGCUUAUGAGCCCCACUGUCCCUCUCCCUCAACCCUGGGGAUAAAUAAAUGCUGCAGACACUG
rnacentral:snoRNA from 1 species